rnacentral:lncRNA from 1 species
AAAAAAAAAAAAAUUCAACCCAGAAAAACCAAAAACUGAAGUAGAGGUGAGGAAUAUUAAUAGGAUUUCAAUUUGGAGAAUUUGAUUUUGUUGUUGUUGAAGAACUAUGUUGCUUUGGUCUUUGCUGCGUUGUUCUUGUCGAUUAUGUGUUGUUGAAGUACUAGUGUUUUUCAAUUUGGAUCUCUGAGGGAGGAGGUGGUGAUGAUUGAAAGAAGUUGAAGAAAAAAAUGAUUUUGUGAAGGU